UUAAGGGUCCCCCAUGCUGGCCAAGGCAGGCCUUCCUUCAGCACUGAUAAGUCAUGGGCCCAGCUCCUGCUUGCUCUGGCAGGGGAAGCAGGAGAGGCAGGCGAGGAGAAGAGGAACACUUUGGCAGUCUGUCAAUCAACACUGCUUCUCAGAGCAGGUAUCAAGGUGCAGAAAAAUGAACGGCCGCCGCGGAGCUUGACAGGGGCCGAACAAAGAAGCGGCUGGUGACUGGGCUCCUGCCUGUGGUUCUCAGCUUCGGAGCACCCAGGGCUGGGAGCAGGCCACGACCCCACACCUGCUCGCCAUUCCUUUCCAGCCAAGCAGGCUCUUAGCAACGGCUCAGUGCGUCACCUAGAAACGCUGAAACCCAAAGAGCCCUUCCAGGCUGAGCGCAAAGGCAGAGGGAGAGCGGAGUGCAGCAGCAGGCGGGGCCGUGUGGCUUCAUGCGCCGAGCACCCUGAUACCAAGCAAAACCUUGGCAAGGGGAGUCUGGCUGGCAUCCGGGGUGCAUUGAUUGAUAGCGCGGCACCCCUGUUCUUGGCCCCUUUGUGUUCACAGGCUCCAACCGGUCGGUCUUUGUCUAGGUCCUGGCAGCCUGCUUCCAUACAGAAAGAGGUGGGCAUCUCAGCAGCUACCAGGGAUGGGAGUGGAGGCAGAAGCAGAAGCAGAGGUUGCAGUUGGUGAAAGCAGCAGAAUGCACACUGCUCAGCUUCCCCGGGAGGGAAAGGUAAGGAGGAGACCCAGGCCUGCACGCUGCUUUGCCUAUUUCCUGGAAGCCCUUCUCCAAAGCUCACAAUGGCUGGAGAGAAGCAGCUAACCCUGGCCCAGUUCCUAGUCCAGCCAAUGUCUGUUCACUGGACCAGCACAGAAUGUGCUCUUUUAGAUGGCAUCACUUACUCGGAUGCCCUGGGUAAUUGGGAGGAAGAUUAAAAGGUGUGAGAGGAGCCCGUGUGCCAACCUUGCUCUGUGGAAGCUGCCCCUCCCCACAGUGCUACUGAGCCAUUAGUUCAUCACCACCUUCUGUUCAUUUCCCCAUGACCUCACCACCAAGGUGUCCCAGGGGCCUCAGCCCAAGGUUGCCAAGUUCUACACAGGCAACCUUGUCCUGCAGCCCUCUCAGCCCAGAGCCCAGGUCCUCAUCUGUCAAAUAAAGGGGUGCCUCCACCUGCAACCUGGAGCCAUCCUGGACUCCACAGUCCACCUUUCAGAGGCUCAGCUUCACCAGAUCACCAGCCCUGGCCACAUACCCAUUGUCACAGUCUCAUACCCAUUCAGCUCUGAGCCUGCUACUAGCCUGAAAGGGCAUAGAGCUAAGCCACUGCCCUAACUUGAAGUGCAAGAAUGGACAGUGUAACCUGGGCAUCAGCCAGAAAGAAAACCUUCCACCAGGUAAGAAAACUGGUUAAAACAAACAAACUAACUAACUAACUAAAAUACACGAGGAACUGCACCAUACAAACGCCAGAAGUGGUGAUUGGUAGCAUUACUGCUUCGUGUUGUCAAUUAUAUCUUCUCCAGUUAGUUUGGGUUUUGCAAUCAGACAUGCUUUGCAUCAGACUUUUAUUGUCUUGCUUCUGCUGAGACCAGUUGAUUAGAAGACAGUGACAUUUGUCUCAGUGCAGCUCAGGGAGGCAUCAGACACAGGAGAGCAGCCUGCAUGGUUCUAAUGCUUGACCUGCUUGACUCAACACAUCCAGCAGUGGUAUGAGCUUUCUGGGGCCCCCUAAGGUGCCAGGCGAUUUCCUGGGUAACUCUGCGCAGUCUUCAUCUUCUCUUAGACCUUUCCCCUGGUGAAUUCUCCAAUUCCCAUGCAGAGGCUUUGCCUUUUCAAUGUGCACAACAAGGAAUAAUCAACGGAGAAGCACACACAUGCCUUCCUCCCUGGCUAGAGAGCUGCAGAAGCCCCCAUCAGAACCACUUGUCCUCCCUCCAUCUCUCCAGAUGAGAGAGGAGGGACAACUCACUCCCAGAUUUGAAGGGGAAAAUGCCCCUUUGGGGGUAUCAAUCAGGUGCAUCAUCUAAGUUUAAGGACACUGAUGAAAAACUAAAGAGACAUAUCAGAGAAACUGCUGACUCGUGAUAAGGAGAAGUCUAUGACAAAGAACCCGGGAAAAACUAUAAGUGAGAAACAGUAUGACAGUCUUCUUCCUUGGUUUUAUAGAUUUUAAUAAUUUACACUUUUGUGUUUAUGUAACAAUGUAUUUUCAAGUAAUAUUUGGUGCCUGUUAAGUUGCUGCAUCAUUUGGAAACCAAAUGUUUAAAGAAAACAGAAGUUGAAUAUGUAAAUAGGCAUGAUGAGCUUUUUGAGAGCCAAAAAUUGUGUUUUACAGCUUUUCAAAGUAAAACAAUAAGCCUCUGAAGCAUCUCACAGGGUAAAUUAUCACUUUGCAUUGGCUGAAGAAGUGCACAAAGUAAUGGAGAGAAUAAUAAACCCUCACACAUUGGCAUUGCUGAGUGCUACUGAA